UACGGAGGGUGCAAACGUUGCUCGGAAUCAUUGGGCGUAAAGCGCACGUAGGCGGUCUCGCAAGUUGGGUGUGAAAUCCCUCGGCUUAACCGGGGAACUGCGUCCGAUACUGGAUGGCUUGAGUGUGGGAGAGGGAUGCGGAAUUCCAGGUGUAGCGGUGAAAUGCGUAGAUAUCUGGAGGAACACCGGUGGCGAAGGCGGCAUCCUGGACCAAUACUGACACUGAGGAGCGAAAGCCAGGGGAGCAAACGGG
rnacentral:rRNA from 1 species